rnacentral:rRNA from 1 species
UACGUAGGGGGCAAGCGUUAUCCGGAAUUAUUGGGCGUAAAGCGCGCGUAGGCGGUUUCUUAAGUCUGAUGUGAAAGCCCACGGCUCAACCGUGGAGGGUCAUUGGAAACUGGGAAACUUGAGUGCAGAAGAGGAAAGUGGAAUUCCAUGUGUAGCGGUGAAAUGCGCAGAGAUAUGGAGGAACACCAGUGGCGAAGGCGACUUUCUGGUCUGUAACUGACGCUGAUGUGCGAAAGCGUGGGGAUCAAACAGG